rnacentral:tRNA from 2 species
GCUCCUAUAGCUCAGUUGGUUAGAGUAGAAGACUCAUAAUCUUUUGGUCACUGGUUCGAGCCCAGUUGGGAGCACC